rfam:Schistosoma mattheei strain Denwood, Zambia genome assembly, scaffold: SMTD_scaffold0005214
AUCCGGCUGACCAGUCCCAAAUGGGACGAAGCGCGUGUUCUGGAU